UGGGGAAUAUUGCACAAUGGGCGCAAGCCUGAUGCAGCCAUGCCGCGUGUAUGAAGAAGGCCUUCGGGUUGUAAAGUACUUUCAGUCGGGAGGAAGGUGGUAAGGUUAAUAACCUUGGCAAUUGACGUUACCGACAGAAGAAGCACCGGCUAACUCCGUGCCAGCAGCCGCGGUAAUACGGAGGGUGCAAGCGUUAAUCGGAAUUACUGGGCGUAAAGCGCACGCAGGCGGUUGAUUGAGUCAGAUGUGAAAUCCCCGGGCUUAACCCGGGAAUUGCAUCUGAUACUGGUAAGCUAGAGUCUUGUAGAGGGGGGUAGAAUUCCAUGUGUAGCGGUGAAAUGCGUAGAGAUGUGGAGGAAUACCGGUGGCGAAGGCGGCCCCCUGGACAAAGACUGACGCUCAGGUGCGAAAGCGUGGGGAGCAAACAGG
rnacentral:rRNA from 1 species